rnacentral:rRNA from 1 species
UACGGGGGGAGCAAGCGUUGUUCGGAUUUACUGGGCGUAAAGGGCGCGUAGGCGGUCGUGACAAGUCACUUGUGAAAUCUCCGGGCUUAACUCGGAACGGUCAAGUGAUACUGUCGUGACUCGAGUCCGGUAGGGGAGUUCGGAAUUCCCGGUGUAGCGGUGAAAUGCGCAGAUAUCGGGAGGAACACCAGUGGCGAAGGCGGAACUCUGGGCCGGAACUGACGCUGAGGAGCGAAAGCGUGGGGAGCGAACAGG